rnacentral:rRNA from 1 species
AUGGAGGCACCCGGUUCAGGUUCAGGAGCAGCAGAAGCGGUGGAGGACGACCGCAUCCAAGAAACGGCCCAUGGGGGCUCCAACUCCAACGCCUCUUCCAAUGGGGGUGGGGCCCCGAGCGCUGCUGCGCCGCCACCUCCCCGCGCGACGCCCUUCCACCUCGAGCAGGCCGGAAGCGGCGCCGAUGGGUCGAGCCCCGCCACGGCGGUGGACCCCCGGAAGGGCAAGGAUCCGCUGCUGCCCAGGGACAUUCCUCCUCCUCCGAGCCCCGCGGGCAGCAGCUCCUCCACCCGCUCCCGCGACUACGCCGCGGCAUUCAGAGACGGGGUCGGGGAGUCGAGCAAGGCGGGCGCCAGGAGGGCGCGGGUGAGGUGGAGCCACCCCGUGGUGGCGGAGACGAGGGAGGUGCCCAACGCGGCGGCGCAUCCGUUGGACCCCAACACGGUGUUCGAGCAGAUGGCGAUCCAGCAGGCGGCCGACGAGGAGGCGAACAGGCGACGGGAACAUCAGGCUGAGCAGUACAACUCGGAAGAGGCCAUGUAUAGGAAGGAACAGGAGAAACUAUCACAAGUACAGGUUGGGGUAAAGGUGAGACCCAAGCAGGACAAACUACCGCACGUACAGGGGAAAUCGUUCUGGAGUCGGUUCAAGAACAAGAUUUUUUGUAGAGAAGGAAGGCAAAUAUGUCCGGAACAUGUGCAGCACCAGACACAACCCAUCACCGAAGUAAUGAAUCGUUAUACGGUUUGUUCUAAUGGGAUGAACAGUCUUAAUGCCUAUUCGGAAUUUAGACCGGUGAUUGGAGAUGGGGAGUGUUUCUACAGGAGCUUCAUAUUUUCCUACCUAGAGCAAGUUCUUGAUAGGCCAGACACAGAUGAGGAACGCCGUCUCCUUGAUGUUGUUGAAAAAGCGUCUGCGCGACAUGCAGAUCUUGGAUGGAACUCUAAGUUUUCCAGGAGCAGCAGAGCAUUUAAGAAGCUGCUUGAGAAAGUAAUGAGAUGGAAGAAGAUGGAAUCAACUAGCAGGUUUUUGAUUCUCUUGGUUUUCUGCAAUUCCAUCAAAUUCUUCAGCACGUAUGAUAAGACGCUAGACAUUUUUGCUUUCCUCAGAUUACUAGUAGCUAUCCAGAUAUGCUCGCACAGCGAGGAGUAUGUACCGCAUAUACCAGUGGUCGCUAGUGGAGACUGCAGUCUGGAAGUUUGGUGCUUUCGGCGUGUCACUCCAGCUGGUGUGGAGUCGGAGUAUCUUAUGAUGAGGGCCUUGGCCAGCGCGCUUGAGGUAAUCCUCAUAGUGGAAACAUUCCAAGAACGAUAUACUCAAGAUAUCUACACUGAUCCUGGAGUUCCCCGUCCGGCUGUGACCCUGCUGUACAAUGGUAAUCACUACGACAUCAUCUACCCAUGCGCAACAUCUUCUGGGAGUUCAAGUCAUCAGGCUUCCUAG